GGCAUCAUUUCGCGAGCAAAGGUUCAUUCCGGUUGCGGAUGGGGAUGCGUCCGAUUAGGCAGCAGGCGGGGCAACGGCCCACCUGGCCACCGAUCGGUAGGGGUUCUGAGAGGAAGGUCCCCCACAUUGGAACUGAGACACGGUCCAAACUCCUACGGGAGGCAGCAGUGAGGAAUAUUGGUCAAUGGGCGGAAGCCUGAACCAGCCAAGUAGCGUGUGGGAUGACGGCCCUACGGGUUGUAAACCACUUUUGCGCGGGGAUAACCGGCGGGACGUGUCCCGCCCUGCAGGUACCGCGCGAAUAAGGACCGGCUAAUUCCGUGCCAGCAGCCGCGGUAAUACGGAAGGUCCGGGCGUUAUCCGGAUUUAUUGGGUUUAAAGGGAGCGUAGGCGGGAUGUUAAGCGUGCUGUGAAAAGCUGCGGCUCAACCGCAGUCGUGCAGCGCGAACUGGCUUUCUUGAGUGCGCGGAAGGCAUGCGGAAUUCGUGGUGUAGCGGUGAAAUGCUUAGAUAUCACGAGGAACUCCGAUUGCGAAGGCAGCAUGCCGCAGCGCUACUGACGCUGAAGCUCGAAGGUGCGG
rnacentral:rRNA from 1 species